UAGCGGAGGGGGCUAGCGUUGUUCGGAAUUACUGGGCGUAAAGCGCACGUAGGCGGCUUUGUAAGUUAGAGGUGAAAGCCCAGGGCUUAACCCUGGAAUUGCCUUUAAGACUGCAUCGCUAGAAUCGUGGAGAGGUGAGUGGGAAUUCCGAGUGUAGAGGUGAAAUUCGUAGAUAUUCGGAAGAACACCAGUGGCGAAGGCGACUCACUGGACACGUAUUGACGCUGAGGUGCGAAAGCGUGGGGAGCGAACGAGG
rnacentral:rRNA from 1 species